UUGGGAAUCUUGCACAAUGGGGGAAACCCUGAUGCAGCGACGCCGCGUGGAGGAUGAAGGAUCUAGGUCUGUAAACUCCUUUUGUUGGGAAAGACUUAGGACGGUACCCAACGAAUAAGCACCGGCUAACUACGUGCCAGCAGCCGCGGUAAGACGUAGGGUGCAAGCGUUGUCCGGAUUUACUGGGCGUAAAGAGCGCGUAGGCGGCUCGUUAAGUGUGAAGUGAAAUCUCCAGGGCUCAACCCGGAAACCGCUUCGCAUACUGGCGAGCUUGAGGAAUGCAGAGGUUAGUGGAAUUCCUGGUGUAGCGGUGAAAUGCGUUGAUAUCAGGAGGAACACCCAUGGCGAAGGCAGCUAACUGGGCAUUAUCUGACGCUGAGGCGCGAAAGCGUGGGUAGCAAACAGGAUUAGAUACCCGCGUAGUCC
rnacentral:rRNA from 1 species